UACGAAGGGUGCAAGCGUUACUCGGAAUUACUGGGCGUAAAGCGCGCGUAGGCGGUCUUUUAAGUCGAAUGUGAAAGCCCUCGGCUCAACUGGGGAAGUGCAUCCGAAACUGAAAGGCUUGAGUACGAAAGAGGGUCGCGGAAUUCCCGGUGUAGAGGUGAAAUUCGUAGAUAUCGGGAGGAACACCGGUGGCGAAGGCGGCGACCUGGGUCGAUACUGACGCUGAGGCGCGAAAGCGUGGGGAGCAAACAGG
rnacentral:rRNA from 1 species